UCCUCAAAUCGAAAUAACGGCACUUUAAUUCUUGGAUUUUCCACAUUUUCGUUGGUAAAGCUCCUAUUUGCUUUCUCUGAAUCUGUAUCAGUUCAUGCAGUUCUGCCAAGUGGGGAAGCUUUGCAGGACACUGCCACUGUAGCACUUGAAAUAUUAAGAUGAACAGAACAAGCAAAAGGUGGGAAAACUGGAAAGAUUGAAUGUCCUUUGGAGUUCACAGAGGUUUGGCAGUGGGAGGAGAAAAACAAAACGAAGCAUAGUGGGAGUGUUGAACAGACUUUCCCAAGAUCCCCAGGAAGGUUUCCAGCAUAAUGAAAGAGUGCAGAAAAAACAAGUUAAUUCAAGGAUAAAACUGUGAAUAAGUAGAAGAGAAGACUACACCAGGAAAAGAGACGGAGAUAGA
rnacentral:lncRNA from 1 species